AGAAAGACACAUGAAAGUGCUCUAUGUUUAGCUUAUCUCUCUGUGGAAUGGGGACAGUAGCAUAAGCAAGACAACCAAAUGCUCUUAAAUGUGACUAAUUAGGAGUCUUGCCAUAUGAUACUUCAUAAGGGGAUUUGUUUUGAAGAGUUCUGGAUGGUAUCCUAUUAAGUAUGUAUGUAGCAGUUAAUAAACAGUCCCCCCAAAAGGAUAUGGGCAACUUGGACUGGAAAAGUAAGGUUCUACAAGCUUCAAGAAGUGUUCUGUGUUUUCUUUCAACAACACCAUUUUGUUGAGGAGUGUGUGGACAGGUAGUUUGAAGGAUAAUACCCUGUUGGUUGAAGAAAGAAGUACCAUCAAGGCGAGACCCCAAUUACAAGGCAUUGUCACUUCUUAUAGUUUGGACAGUAGCACUAAACAGAGUUUUAACCAUAGACAGAAAGGACUUAAUCAUGCAAAGAGCAUUUCUCUAGACCCCAGUAGAUGUGUCCAGAUGGCCCUAGAAAAAUCAUCAACUAUUUUAAGAAAAUAUCUUGAGCCAUAGGAAUUUGGUGUGUGGUAAGGACCCCAAGUAUCUACAUGAAUUAAUUGGAAAGGUCUGCUUGUACUGAUAGAGUAUCAGGAAAAGGAAGCCUGGUUUGCCUAGCCAUAGGACAAAUAGAACAAGGAAAUGGUUGUUUAGAAGCAAAGGGAAAUGACAAAUCAGAAAUGUGUUUCAUAUUUGCAAAAGAGAUGUGAGCCAGUCUUAAAUGCCAAAUGAGAUUCAUGUCAUUUGCAGCAGCAUUAUUACAAAUGGAGCUAUUUACAUUUGAAGGUAAAGCAACAGUCUUAGAGCUAGAAGAACAAGCAGGAUUACAAGAAUUAGAAAAAGAAAACACAGAAACAGAUUUGCAACAAUUAGAAGAAGAAUGUGAAGGUGGCACCCAAGCAAGCUUGUACAGACCAGCCUUCUCUUUACCAAGAUCCAGAGGCAUCCUCAAAGAAGGGGCAUGUAACAUGUGAAGAAAGUAGGAAGUUGCAGUAAACAAGACUAUACAAUGCAACUGUUUUACUAGUUUGUGGACAGAGAUUAAGUUGUGUUGGAAAGAAGGAACAAACAACACAUUAUGAAGAGUGAUGAAUGGAGUUAAAUUAAAAGAUCAUGUGGAAGUCACUUUCACUUUGUAUCCAUUGGGAAGAGUUACAAGAUAAGGUAUAACUAAGGGUGUGAUCUGGUCGAUGGAGUUAAUGUAAAAGAUCUUGUGGAAGUCACUUUCAUUUUGUAUCCAUUGGGAAGAGUUACAAGAUAAGGUAUAGCUAAGGGUGUGAUA
rnacentral:lncRNA from 1 species